rnacentral:rRNA from 1 species
UACGAAGGGGGCUAGCGUUGCUCGGAAUCACUGGGCGUAAAGCGCACGUAGGCGGAUUCCUAAGUCGGUGGUGAAAUCCUGGAGCUCAACUCCAGAACUGCCUCCGAUACUGAGAGUCUUCGAGUCCGGGAGAGGUGAGUGGAACUGCGAGUGUAGAGGUGAAAUUCGUAGAUAUUCGCAAGAACACCAGUGGCGAAGGCGGAUCACUGGCCCGGUACUGACGCUGAGGUGCGAAAGCGUGGGGAGCAAACAGG